rnacentral:lncRNA from 1 species
AUUUACGUGGAUGGUCCGUAUGGAGCUCCUGCUACACAUUUCACAGAAGCAGAGCAUGCUGUGCUCAUUUCAAGUGGAAUUGGUGUGACACCUUUUGCAUCUAUUCUUCAAACUAUAAUGCUUCGAUACAAGAACGCCUCGCACUCUUGUCCUAACUGUAAUUACUGUUGGGUUGGUGACGUUCCUUAUUCUUUGAGAAAACUGC